AUUGAACGCUGGCGGCAUGCUUUACACAUGCAAGUCGGACGAGUGGCGAACGGGUGAGUAACGCAUCGGAACGUACCGAGUAAUGGGGGAUAACUGUCCGAACGGACAGCUAAUACCGCAUAUUAUUCGAGCGGCCGAUGUCUGAUUAGCUGGUUGGCGGGGUAAAGGCCCACCAAGGCUACGAGCAGUAGCGGGUCUGGGAGGCUGAUACGCUAAACUGGAACGUGGACAAGGAGCAGACUCCUACGUGAGGCAGCAGUGGGGAAUUUUGGACAAUGGGCGCAAGCCUGAUCCAGCCAUGCCGCGUGGCUGAAGAAGGCAUUCGGGUUGUAAAGGACUUUUGUCAUGGAAGCGGUACCUGAAGAAUAAGCACCGGCUAACUACGUGCCAGCAGCCGCGGUAAUUC
rnacentral:rRNA from 1 species